CCUACGGGGUGCAGCAGUGAGGAAUAUUGGUCAAUGGACGGAAGUCUGAACCAGCCAUGCCGCGUGCAGGAAGACGGCUCUAUGAGUUGUAAACUGCUUUUGUACAAGGGUAAACCUGAAUACGUGUAUUCAGCUGAAAGUACUGUACGAAUAAGGAUCGGCUAACUCCGUGCCAGCAGCCGCGGUAAUACGGAGGAUCCAAGCGUUAUCCGGAUUUAUUGGGUUUAACGGGUGCGUAGGCGGAUUGAUAAGUUAGAGGUGAAAUGUCCGAGCUUAACUCGGGAACUGCCUCUAAUACUGUUGGUCUAGAGAGUAGAUGCGGUAGGCGGAAUGUAUGGUGUAGCGGUGAAAUGCUUAGAGAUCAUACAGAACACCGAUUGCGAAGGCAGCUUACCAAUCUAUAUCUGACGUUGAGGCACGAAAGCGUGGGGAGCAAACAGGAUUAGAUACCCUGGUAGUC
rnacentral:rRNA from 1 species